AUUGAACGCUGGCGGCGUGCCUUACACAUGCAAGUCGAACGGUAACGGGCCUUCGGGUGCCGACGAGUGGCGAACGGGUGAGUAAUGCAUCGGAACGUACCUUUCAGUGGGGGAUAACGUAGCGAAAGUUACGCUAAUACCGCAUAUUCUGUGAGCAGGAAAGCAGGGGAUCGCAAGACCUUGCGCUGAUUGAGCGGCCGAUGUCAGAUUAGCUAGUUGGUGAGGUAAAGGCUCAGCAAGGCGACGAUCUGUAGCGGGUCUGAGAGGAUGAUCCGCCACACUGGGACUGAGACACGGCCCCGACUCCUACGGGAGGCAGCAGUGGGGAAUUUUGGACAAUGGGGGCAACCCUGAUCCAGCCAUGCCGCGUGAGUGAAGAAGGCCUUCGGGUUGUAAAGCUCUUUCGGCCGGGAAGAAAUCGCACAGGCUAAUACCUUGUGUGGAUGACGGUACCAGAAUAAGAAGCACCGGCUAACUACGUGCCAGCCGCCGCAGUAACAC
rnacentral:rRNA from 1 species